UCCCCUCUAAUGUUUUCCUUGGACUUUUUGGUUGAAGAACUGGGAUUGUUUGUCCUGAAGAUUUUCUAACCGUUUAAAUUUUCUCGAUUCCAUUCCGUGAGGUGUUCUCCAAUAUACGUAUCAUCUUGUACUUUGCACUUCCUAUAGAUUUACAGUUAGAGCUAGAAAUUUUAUCAGAUUAUGGUUGCAUAUUUUUAGUAAGACUAGGCCAUAAGUAGUGGUAUAAUUUCCACAAGUGGGCAUGUAUGUGAGUGUGUGUGUGUGUGUGUGUGUGUGUGUGUGUGUGUAUGUGAUGUUAUUGACUAUUGAGGAUUUUUGGCUAGAUUCAGUAUUUCAUUAGCGAUGGCAGGGUUGUGAUAUCCUAACUUGACGAUUAACAAGAUAAAAUUUAUUUUUUAGAGCAGUUUUAAGCUCACCACAAAACUGAGUGGAAAGUGCACGGAGUUCCUGAAUACCUCUGUCUCUCCACCUAUGGCCUCUUCUACUAUCAACAACCAGCACCGGCAGCUAUGCACGAUUAUAAUGAAGGAAGCCACACUGACACGGCAUUAUCACUCAGAGUCCCUAGUUUCCAUCAGGGUUCACACUGGGUGGUGAACAUUCUGUGGGUUUGGACACAUGCAUAAAGAUGAUUGCUUUCUCAUUUAUUAACCAGGACACUUCUGUAAGGGAAAGCUUUCCCCUCGUUACAUAGUUGGUUAUAUGAAAUGAAGUUCACAUAAGAAACCCAGAAUAAAUGCUUUUUCUUUCCCUUAUCUACCAGUUUGCAGAAUAAUUAGUUGGUUCUCUCUGGUAUCUUCUAAAGUUAACGUAAGUUCUUGCUGUGUUUUUACUGUUAGUGUCACUAAGAACUCAUGUAUUUAAAUGUAUUUGAUGAGUUUCAAUGUCCUACUCUAUAUACAGGUACAUGGGUCUCUAUACACAUGCAUAUGCUGAUAACACAGUGGUAAACUUCUAGAUCACUAAUGUCUAUAAAUUUACAUCAUUUUGCUGCCUUGAUUAAAAAAAAAUUCUUAAAGUAGUUUGAAAGUUUAUCUUAAAACACUCUCUUCCAUUUACUGACUCUUAUAAAGAUUCCCCUGAGUCUCUGAGGAUGGUAGAAAAUCUUGCUUUGUUGCUAGAAAAACAUGAGCAGCUAUUUAUAGAGGCAUAAAAGCAGGGAAGACAGAAGGGAGAAGGGAGGAGCAAAGGAGGAAUAAAAGAAAGAAGAGAGUAAGCAAAUGUAUAUAAAAGAUAAGUAAUUAAUGGGCUAUUGCGUCAUCUCGGAAAAUUACUGUCAUGAACUGAUUUACAUGGUGCCGUGUGACGUUAUUGCGAAAGAGUUAAGCAAGAGGCCUUGAGUCUUAGGCUGCUUGGCUCGAAUCUCCAGUUCUGAUCCCUCCUAGCUGGGUUGGCUUUGCGCCUCACCCUUCUCAUCGUGCACCAGGGCCAAAGGAGCACCGGGCGGUAGGAUAACAGAAAUGAAUACAUAUAAACCCAGUAACCGGCACAAGGGAGAGAUACAGUAUACCCCUUCUGAGAACUGAGCGGUACUAUUAGGUUUUGCUGAGAACCUUUCCAAGACGAGAGAGGAUACAGCGCUAGCAAAGACCAGAACUUUAAUAUUCUGAAAAGGAAGAAAGAAAAGAGGAACACUUUUCGAAUCGCUCCUCCAACCACGGAAAUGAUUUUAAUUACCAAUUCAUCUGUUGGCAGACUCUUCUGGCAGAUGUACCUGCAGCUUGGAAAGAUAACAAACGAACUGAUUCCUUACUCCAGAGUUGACACUGAUAGUGCUUGCCGAAUUUGCUCUCAGAAAAGAAUCCCGGGCAACAAUACAUCUGGCACUCUGCUCGAGGAAUUUGUCAUGUCGUUGACAUGUUCAGCCUCCAUUGUCCACCCCACGCCGACAGCAGGAGUACAGAUCUGAUGGUGCGUCCGUGCGCAAAAUCCUCCCAGUGAUGGCUGGAGGGGAGCGAGCAGAUAAUACAUUGACAGAAUAGACACCAGUUCAUCAGCCUUUAUUUGCACCAACUCAUGGAAAUAUAGGAGGAGAAGAAACCUGUCCUAUCUUUGGCAUGUCUCAAUAGAAAUAUCCUUCAGGUUUAGCAGCCUAAUCAGUUCCAAACAGUAAGGCGUGCCAGGAAAAACAGACAAACUCUCAGGAACAACAAUGCCCAUUAUGCGUGGGGUAGGAGCUGCCAGACUUUGAUUACUGGCCAGACGUUAACCCCUUUGGUGUCUUAUGGGGGAAAUGCCAAGUCUGAAUCCAGACACUUCCAGGAUCUUACAGUCACUCGUGGUGUGAGAACGGGCGAUUUGUAAAGACUCGUGCAAAAAAGGACUGUUGUGAGAAGGAAGUGCAAGUUCAAGGCCACAUCUCCUUGUUUCGUGAACUGUGCAGUGACUCCUUCUGGCUAGGUUACCUCUGCUUUUCCUUCUGCAGGCCUGCUCGUUGUGGGUGACAAACACACUGCUCUUGCCACGUGCCCCACCUGGGUUCGCAGCUGGAUGCCACAAGGAGAGGGCCAAGUUUGGUACUCACAGAGAUAACGUGGGGAUUCCUUGAGGCUACCACCUACAAUAAAGUUGCUAGAAAGAA